ACCAGCAAGGAGGCAGCUGGCCUUAGCAGGCAAAAAAAGCCAGAGCCUGAGGCAGCAGAAGUGGAGGAGAGCUGGUCUGAGAGCUGUUUAUGCAGAGACAUCAUCUCUGACCCUUCCCCGCAGCUGAAAAUGCUAUCUGUGUGUGUAGGCGUGUGCCUAUUUAGCAAGCUUGAUAUUUUAUCAUCAAAAGUUAUGGGAUUGUAGUGUUUGCUUAACCAUACUCUUCUAUAAAUAUUAACAGGCAAGCCGCGUGCAGUUUGACAAAAACAGAGUCUAUUCCAGCUUUGAAAAGUCCUAGUGAUCCAUUUUCCUAGGCUGCUACUACAGCUACUACCAUGUCUCUACACACAUUGGAUGAGUCAUACUCCAGUGUUUCCCUCCUCCCCUCUCUCCCCAGAAAACUUUCCUUAAUCUGUCUCCAGUGCCUUGCAGUCAGGUGAAGUCUUCAUUGACCUCUUCGUAGCCAGCUCUACCCUCCUUAACCUGUGAACAUCUUCAGACACUGCUCCUGCAGUCUACAGAGAGCAAGAUCUGUUCCACAACAGAGGAUCCUUUGAGUUGUAGUGUUUACCAUGCUAUCUCAAGCCCUAACCACUUCAUUCUCUGUAAUUUGAUUAUUUGGUCAUGCCCUGGAAUGCAAAGUACGACUCUGAUGUAUUUGUAUAAGCCUAGCCUCUUCAAGUACAGUUAGUAGCUGAAUGAUGUAUGUUAAUGACAUGCUCUCAAUAAUUUUUAUAAUGCGAGAUCUCUGCCCAGAUUUAAUGUUUAAUAUCCCUGGGAUUCACAUUGAAAUUAUUACACACAUUAUGUAUUCCAUUCCUUGGACUUGGAAUUAAUUUCAAAACAGAGCAAAAGUGCAUCCUAUUUGUUUUCUUGUGGGACUUUGCAUCAGUAACAGUCUAUUUAUUCUGGAGUUUCUGAAGUUAGAAAUACCUUCUCCCUUUGCUAUCUUUGAUCUAUCCUGACGAACUGUGCAGAACAUUUCAUUUCUUUGUCUUGUCUCAGUUAUGCCAUUUCCUCAUUCACUUGAAAAAUAUUUAUUCUAGCAAAAUUUACCUCCUUGAGUAAACGACACGGGUUGUUAGAAAACAGCCUCACUGAAUCUUUGACAUAAAGCUGUCUGCCAAAAAUAAACAGAAAAAAAAAAAGAAAGAAAAAGCUGCUUCUCUAGACUCUUUUUAUGGAAGGCUGCAUAGGAGGAUUCAUAAUCUGCAUCGCUUUGAUCGAUCAUUCAAUCUUUGCAUUGGUGAUGUUUCUAAUACAGGGGCUUAGCCUCUGGAAUGACUCCAAACAGGA